UACGAAGGGUGCUAGCGUUGUUCGGAAUCACUGGGCGUAAAGCGCGCGUAGGCGGCUUAGCAAGUCAGGGGUGAAAUCCCAGAGCUUAACUCUGGAAUUGCCUUUGAAACUGCUAAGCUGGGGUGUCGGAGGGGAUGGCGGAAUUGCUAAUGUAGAGGUGAAAUUCGUAGAUAUUAGCAGGAACACCGGUGGCGAAGGCGGCCAUCUGGACGACAACUGACGCUGAGGCGCGAAAGCGUGGGGAUCAAACAGG
rnacentral:rRNA from 1 species